rnacentral:rRNA from 1 species
AUUGAACGCUAGCGGGAUGCUUUACACAUGCACGUCGAACGAGUGGCGGACUGGUGAGUAAUAUAUCGGAACGUGCCCAGUUGCGGGGGAUAACUACUCGAACGAGUCGCUAAUACCGCAUACUAUCGUAUCUGCCGAUAUCGUAUUAGCUAGUUGGUGGUGUAAAGUCUCACCAAGGCUACGAUCCGUAGCUGGUUUGAGAGGACGACCAGCCACACUGGGACUGAGACACGGCCCAGACUCCUACGGGAGGCAGCAGUGGGGAAUUUUGGACAAUGGGGGAAACCCUGAUCCAGCCAUCCCGCGUGUAUGAGAAGGCCUUCGGGUUGUAAAGUACUUUUGGCAGAGAAGCGGUAUCUGCAGAAUAAGCACCGGCUAACUACGUGCCAGCCGCCGCGGUAAUUC